rnacentral:snRNA from 1 species
GAAUUUAGGUUGCAGGGGAGAUACCAUGCUCACAAAGGGGGUUUUCCCAAGGAGGUGCUCGUCUGUCACAUUCUGAAUGUGCUGACCCCAUUUUCCAAAUGUGGGAAACCAGCUGCAUGC